rnacentral:tRNA from 1 species
GCCUGGUUGGCCGAGUGGUUAAGGCACUGUGGGGGCGUACCAACCCGGGCGUGUGCACCCAUAAGCGAGUGCCCCGAACCUUGGAAGGUGUUGGCGCGUCCUCCAGAGACCCCUGGUUCGAAUCCAGGAUCGGGCA